rnacentral:rRNA from 1 species
CGGGACGGGGUGGAGUAACGCGUGGGUAACCGUGCCUUGUACUGGGGGAGGAAAGUUAGAAAAGACUGCUAAUACCGCAUAAGCGCACAGUAUCGCAUGAUACAGUGUGAAAAACUACCGGUGGUACAAGAUGGACCCGCGUCUGAUUAGCUAGUUGGUAAGGUAACGGCUUACCAAGGCGACGAUCAGUAGCCGACCUGAGAGGGUGACCGGCCACAUUGGGACUGAGACACGGCCCAA